rnacentral:rRNA from 1 species
GACGAACGCUGGCGGCGUGCUUAACACAUGCAAGUCGAACGGAAAGGCCCCUUUGGGGGUACUCGAGUGGCGAACGGGUGAGUAACACGUGAGUAACCUGCCCUUGACUUCGGGAUAACUUCAGGAAACUGGGGCUAAUACCGGAUAGGAAUCCUUGCUGCAUGGUGGGGGUUGGAAAGCUUCGGCGGUGUUGGAUGGACUCGCGGCUUAUCAGCUUGUUGGUGGGGUAGUGGCUUACCAAGGCUUUGACGGGUAGCCGGCCUGAGAGGGCGACCGGCCAUACUGGGACUGAGAGACGGCACAGACUCCUACGGGAGGCAGAAGUGGGGAAUAUUGCACAAGGGGCGGAGGCUUGAUGAAGCAGCGCUGCGGGCGGGAUGACGGCCUUGGGGUGGUAAACCGCUUGCAGCAGGGGCGAAGCUUGUGGUGACGGUACCUGAAGAAGAAGCACCGGCUAACUACGUG